AGUGAACGCUGGCGGUAGGCCUAACACAUGCAAGUCGAACGGCAGCACAGUAAGAGCUUGCUCUUACGGGUGGCGAGUGGCGGACGGGUGAGGAAUACAUCGGAAUCUACUUUUUCGUGGGGGAUAACGUAGGGAAACUUACGCUAAUACCGCAUACGACCUACGGGUGAAAGCAGGGGAUCUUCGGACCUUGCGCGAUUGAAUGAGCCGAUGUCGGAUUAGCUAGUUGGCGGGGUAAAGGCCCACCAAGGCGACGAUCCGUAGCUGGUCUGAGAGGUUGAUCAGCCACACUGGAACUGAGACACGGUCCAGACUCCUACGGGAGGCAGCAGUGGGGAAUAUUGGACAAUGGGCGCAAGCCUGAUCCAGCCAUACCGCGUGGGUGAAGAGGGCCUUCGGGUUGUAAAGCCCUUUUGUUGGGAAAGAAAAGCAGCAGGUUAAUACCCCGCUGUUCUGACGGUACCCAAAGAAUAAGCACCGGCUAACUUCGUG
rnacentral:rRNA from 1 species